CCUACGGGGCGCUGCAGUGAGGAAUAUUGGUCAAUGGACGAGAGUCUGAACCAGCCAAGUAGCGUGAAGGAUGACUGCCCUAUGGGUUGUAAACUUCUUUUAUAUGGGAAUAAAACGUUCCACGUGUGGGAUUUUGUAUGUACCAUAUGAAUAAGGAUCGGCUAAAUCCGUGCCAGCAGCCGCGGUAAUACGGAGGAUCCGAGCGUUAUCCGGAUUUAUUGGGUUUAAAGGGAGCGUAGGUGGAUUGUUAAGUUAGUUGUGAAAGUUUGCGGCUCAACCGUAAAAUUGCAGUUGAAACUGGCAGUCUUGAGUACAGUAGAGGUGGGCGGAAUUCGUGGUGUAGCGGUGAAAUGCUUAGAUAUCACGAAGAACUCCGAUUGCGAAGGCAGUUCACUGGACUGCAACUGACACUGAGGCUCGAAAGUGUGGGUAUCAAACAGGAUUAGAUACCCGGGUAGUC
rnacentral:rRNA from 1 species